UCAGUGUUUCUCAGUUGGUGCUGGAGGUUCUCAGGUGUGCUGGAUGACAGGUGUGACCUAUCUACUGAUUACAUGGAGGAGCACUUAAGCAGGAAGCUGCCAGCACUUCAAUGCCAGAGUGUUUGCCUUAGUGGUAACAAACUCAGCCACUUCUGAUUUUUGCUUUAUUUCAUGUGCUCUUAGUAACUUUUGAAUUUGUUCCUUCGCAGGUUUUUGCCUGAGGCUUUGUUUACUUUGCUAAGUCCUGACUUUGUUCUGGAGGACCUCUGAACAAUCUGGAUAAUCAUCUACUGAGUAUUGGAUCAACCUUCUUGUGGAUAUCUGUGCCUACAGGCUGUACCUUUUGGACACGAUCAAGCUGGUGGCUUCUCGCUUCCUCCAACCCCAGGACCAAGGCAUGAGCGUACUCUGUUCCUCCCUCCUUUGCAAACAUCGACACCUGUGCUUCAUCUGGUUUGCACCAAACCAGCAACUGAGGAGACAACUGAGCAACCUCACUUCGCAAGCUAAGACUCUGAACCUCUCUACCCCUAGUGGUUCAAGCAACAGCAAUUUAUUUGUGUUUCCAGUUCUCAUUCCUGAUUACUUUGCUGACAAUAAAAACACGUUAAACUUUA